GGGUAAGUGGCGUAAGUAGCGUGUAUGGUUUCGGGUCAUAAGGAGCAUUCUGCCUUACUCU
rnacentral:tRNA from 1 species